rnacentral:rRNA from 1 species
CACCGGCGGCCCGAGUGGUAGCCGCUAUUAUUGGGUCUAAAGGGUCCGUAGCCGGUUUGAUCAGUCUUCCGGGAAAUCUGACAGCUCAACUGUUAGGCUUCUGGGGGAUACUGUCAGACUUGGAACCGGGAGAGGUAAUAGGUACUACAGGGGUAGGAGUGAAAUCUUGUAAUCCUUGUGGGACCACCAGUGGCGAAGGCGUCUUACCAGAACGGGUUCGACGGUGAGGGACGAAAGCUGGGGGCACGAACCGGAUUAGAUACCCGGGUAGUCUCAGCCGUAAACGAUGCUCGCUAGGUGUCUGGGAUGGUGCGACCGUUUCAGGUGCCGCAGGGAAGCCGUGAAGCGAGCCACCUGGGAAGUACGGCCGCAAGGCUAGAAACUUAAAAGAAUUGGGCGGGGGAGCACUACAACGGGUGGAGCCUGCGGUUU